UUCAAAACAGCUGCUAUCACCAAUAAUUAAACCAUAAAAAACCGAAAUUAUUUUUCCCUCUGGGGUGAUUACAACCACACGGGAGCUGUGAUGAGAGCUCAGCAAUCCUGUGAUAUAGGCAAAGCAGACCUGACAGUCACAGGGGUUCCAUCUCCAAAGUGACCUUAAGAUCUGAGGUGACCACUGCAACUCCAAGCCAUCCUGGUUCACCAACUGCUAGAAACACCCAGAUUUUAACUUUCCAACUCACUUCUUCCAAGAAGCUCCCCCUGGUAUAUGGCCACCUCCUCUGAGACCACUUCAUCCCACUGUCCAUUGUCAAGAGCAUGUCUUUCACUCAGAGAAUCAAAACUUUUGUUGAAGACAGACCUUACACCAUCUGGCCUAAUGAUUUGCAACUUGUUUUUCAGAGCCCUUUCUG
rnacentral:lncRNA from 10 species